GUUUUUUGGCAGAAAAUAUAUUAAGAGUGGAAAGAUAUAGAAAAGAUAAGCAUGGAUCCUGUGUAAAGAUAACAUAGCCAUUCAUGAAAAAUUCCUUAUUUUU